GAUGAACGCUAGCGGCAGGCUUAACACAUGCAAGUCGAGGGGUAUAGUUCUUCGGAGCUAGAGACCGGCGCACGGGUGCGUAACGCGUAUGCAAUCUACCUUUUGCAGAGGGAUAGCCCAGAGAAAUUUGGAUUAAUACCUCAUGGUAUGUGAGAAUGGCAUCAUUUUCACAUUAAAGUCACAACGGCAAAAGAUGAGCAUGCGUCCCAUUAGCUAGUUGGUAAGGUAACGGCUUACCAAGGCAACGAUGGGUAGGGGUCCUGAGAGGGAGAUCCCCCACACUGGUACGUAGAAAAGGACCAGACUCCUUCGGGAGGCAGCAGUGAGGAAUAUUGGACAAUGGGCGCAAGCCUGAUCCAGCCAUGCCGCGUGCAGGAUGACGGUCCUAUGGAUUGUAAACUGCUUUUGUACAGGAAGAAACACUGGUUCGUGAACCAGCUUGACGGUACUGUAUGAAUAAGCACCGGCUAACUCCGUGCCAGCCGCCGCAGUAACAC
rnacentral:rRNA from 1 species